rnacentral:rRNA from 1 species
CGCAAGCACCCCCAAUCCGCCGCCUCCUUUCCUCCCCCAGUCCCUAUCUCUGCUCCUCCUCCUCCCCCAAUCGCCCCCAUCUCCUCCUCCCUCUCCACUUCUAGACGGGGCGCCGCCUACUCUCCACCUCGUGCCCCCUCCUCCCACUCCUCCACCUCCGCUCCACUGCACCCCGCCGCUCCGAGGACCAUCGACGAGGCGAGGACAGCGGUGCCAUCGGACCCGCCGACCCGGAGCCCGCGCCCUCCAGACCAAGCACCGUCCGCCUCCUCCCCCUCCACGUCCACGCUCGCGGCCGUCCCUGGCCACGCCGACCGCCAUCGUAUCAUCGCACAUGAGCAGCCUCUCUCCCCGGCUUCCUUCCUUCUCUCUCUCGUGGUCGUCUCUGGUAGGCUAGGGUUCCUCUCCGGGACGGGGACGCCCUGGAUUUCUCGGUACGUGUGUUCGUCCUUCCGUACGUCGGCCGCCCUAAAUUUGAUGCCUUUUCUAGUUCGCAGGGAGGGACUUGGCCGGGUGCUUUCAUUCUCCAGCCAGCUCAGGAACAAUGGCGGUGGUCUCCUGUGUUCAGUGGCCAUAACUAUAACUAUAGUUUUAACUGAUGCGAUUAAGGAUGGUGUUGGUCGGCCACGUCCAGAUUCCUUUUGGCGCUGUUUUCCCGACAGAGUAUCUUUAAUGUGCUCACCUUGGGCUGUUGCUUCUUUGUGCUCAUCCAUAGCAAUACUAUUCUCAUUAUCUCAUCCAUGGCAAUACCGUUCUAUGCACUAA